UUUUGUGUCGAGGCCGCUAAAAAUCCUUGUUGUUUCCAUUUACGGUCAUCCUUAUCCGAAACCCCUAUCUAUGACGUCACGCUGACUGGCGAGAGAUAGU
ensembl:ncRNA C06B8.13 ncRNA